GCUAGAGGGUCGGGGCUGGAGGGGUGACGCUAGGGCUCAGACUCCAGGACAGACAAGUGACGGAGAUCGACAGGCUCUGGGAAGUCUCGUGCCUCGUCUGCCUCCCAUGGCUGGCUCUGCUGCGCUGCUGGUGAUUUGUGAACGUGAAGAUUUUACUCUGAAGUGCAAAAGCUGUUCCAUUUGUUGGCCAUAAAGACAUUUUUAGGCAAGUUGAUGCAGCCAGGAAAGCUUUGCAGAGGUUUUGGUUGGACCUGGGUCUGGAAGGCUGGCACUGCACUGGGAGAGGCAAAGGUACAGGAAUAACGCUGGGGCCGUGAGGGAGUCUGACCGUCAGUCGUGAUUCUGAGCCCUUGAUGGGAAGCGCCACGGGGCUGGAUU